rnacentral:rRNA from 1 species
CGGGGGGAUCCCAAGUGCCAUUCUUAACGGGAUGGCUUUUCAUUAGUGUAAAGAGCUUUUGGAAUAAGAGCUGGGCAAGACCGGUGCCAGCCGCCGCGGUAACACCGGCAGCUCUAGUGGUAACAAUUUUUAUUGGGCCUAAAGCGUCCGUAGCCGGUUUAAUAAGUCUCUGGUGAAAUCCUGUAGCUUAACUGUGGGAAUUGCUGGAGAUACUAUUAGACUUGAGAUCGGGAGAGGUUAGAGGUACUCCCAGGGUAGAGGUGAAAUUCUGUAAUCCUGGGAGGACCGCCUGUUGCGAAGGCGUCUAGCUGGAACGAUUCUGACGGUGAGGGACGAAAGUUAGGGGCGCGAACCGGAUUAGAUACCCGGGUAGUCCUAACUGUAAACGAUGCGGACUUGGUGUUGGGGUGGCUUUGAGCUGCUCCAGUGCCGAAGGGAAGCUGUUAAGUCCGCCGCCUGGGAAGUACGGUCGCAAGACUGAAACUUAA